rnacentral:rRNA from 1 species
UACGGAGGGUGCGAGCGUUGUCCGGAAUCAUUGGGCGUAAAGGGCGCGUAGGUGGCCCGGUCAGUCCGUGGUGAAAGCGCGGGGCUCAACCCUGCGUCGGCCAUGGAUACUGCCGCGGCUGGAGCACUGUAGAGGCAGGCGGAAUUCCGGGUGUAGCGGUGGAAUGCGUAGAGAUCCGGAAGAACACCAGUGGCGAAGGCGGCCUGCUGGGCAGUAGCCGAAAGGCUUUCAAGCUGACACUGAGGCGCGACAGCGUGGGGAGCAAACAGG